rnacentral:lncRNA from 1 species
UUAUAAAACAUUCUUUUAAUUUCUAAAACUAAAGUUUAUUGCAUAGGAAGAGUUACAUUUAUUACAAGUCCUGAUAUACUCAAAGUGCAUAACUUAUUACAAUAGCAGGAAGGUAGGAACCCUCCAAAGCUUAUACACAAUCCUAACUAAUCCUCCUCCAGAACUGGAAACGCCUUCCAGCCACAGGAACUCCUAGAAUACUCCUCAUCACCUACAACAACAUGGGUUCGAAAACCCUGAGUACGAAGUGUACUUUCGCAAGUCUUACCCGACUAAGGAAAAAUGACUCUCAAGGAUAUGCUGGUUAAAUAGGAAUCAAGGGAAAAGGCUUUAACAAGAAUCAACUUAGAUACUUUUGCAGAAAUAGCUUACUAAAGUGAGUCCUUACUUUCAAUAUUUUAACACCAGAUUAAAUAUUAAUAGACUUUGGUUGCAUCUAGUCUAAUUUCACCAUCUCAUCAAUACAACAUCAUUUUUACUCAUAAUGUUUACAUCCUGACUUAGGUUGUAGGUCGGAGAUCAAGUCUCCACUCUCUGGGGAUAUAACGGCGAUCCGAAUCGAUUUACUCAGCUGAGGAUCUCUAACCACACGACAUAUGUUUCUCGUAACUCUUGCAUAUGUCUACCAUUCCCACGGAUCCUCCACUGCAUGAACAGGUCCGCACCACCCGAGAGCACACCACCCUUUUUAGGCGGUCCUUUGCUAGGAGGGUACAUGCCACUCUCGCCAUCUCUCCACUCCCAGUGCGCGAUUGUCUUUUCAUGUAUGGAAUAGCCGGGUUCAAGCUUACCCUGUCCCAUAUCCAGGGCAUGUGGCUAGUUAAGAUAGUCCUUGAUCAUACAGGCCUACAUACGCAUCCAAUCCUUAAUUAACCUGGGUGGAGCAUCACCUGUUCCUAGCCCAAGUCUCGAUUUAAUUACUUCCAUCCUUAGGAUUGUUUUGUGUUCCUUAGGAUGAAAAGAGCAUUAUAGGGAACUUUGCAGUAAGAUCCCACCAUGCUCCCAAUGAAAAUAUUCUUGCAGGUAGAAGCCAUCCUUCCUCAGGAUAACCCCUGAGCUAGGCAUUAUUGCAAAAGAACCUCUAUCCACAAGAUCUAAGUAGGGCUAAGCAUUUUUGUAAACAAUAUUUGAUACUUCCAAGGAAGUACCUAUAACAGGAAUGGAUAUCAAGGUAGUCAAUGCAUCAAAUAGUUUCCAAGCAAUUCCUAUAAACUUAAUGCACAUUUCACUAGACUUAAGUGUAUAAAAGUCUUUUUUUAAAAAUACAAGGAAGGGGUAAAUGCACCGGGGCUUGCCUUUGUUGCAGUGAAGAGGUACUCGAUCCCUCUAUUAAACCCCAGUUAGAUGGCUCCUCCACUUGAUCAGCAGCCACUGGAGUAGAUUCCUCUUCAGUCACCACUUCAGUUUGAAUCUUCACUCCUUCUGGUAGGAGUUCUAUAUGAAAUGACAUGAUCAUGGAUGUUUAUGCUUAUGCAACUUGAAAAGAAAAUACUAAGAAGCAUCGCAAGGCUUACACCUCUCUAAUGGUGCACACAAAAACUAACAAAACCUUAAGAGAGCUAAAUACUCUAAUACCACAACUCAAUCAUACUAUGGCAGCCAGCAAGGAUGAGGUGAUAUUCUUCAGUUACUCCCAAUAUAGACACUAGUUUACUAAAUCAGCCACCUUCCACUAAAUUUGUUUUCAGUUUUCUGAAACAGCACACCACUAAGCCUGACAGAGGGUUUUGGCACUUACUUUUCUCUAAAUUCUCUACAGUAGCAAGCCAACUAUUUGCAUCAAAUUUGUUGUGCAUGAUAUGGUCUCCCAUCUUGCCGUGGAAUCCCUAACCCAAUUCUACUUGGAGUAAUCACCACAGAGCUCCAAAGGUGGUUAAAAACUCACUGAACCAUAAUGACAGUCGACUGAACAGUCUGCAUUCCAUAUGCCUGGCAGGGGUAAUUAGGACACCAAUUACUGCCAACCCUGUGUAACACCCAGUCCAUUUCUCUUUAGAAAACUUAUUCACUUUACUAUGGUACACAACCUUUACACAUGGAGUAGGACUCAUAACUCCAGGAAUUAAAUUCUAAAGAGCUCCAAAAUUGGUUGAACAACACCCUGAAACUGAUUUUUAGUGAACUGAUACAGCCCACCCCUAGUCUGACAGGGAAGGUUUGGAGGUAUUUUACUCCCAAAUUUCUGUAGAACCAUGUCUAUCUUACUUUAGUAAACUUAUUUACUUCACUUUGCUCUACACUUUUGCUAAAUAAUUCUUAGUCCAAAACCACUAGGAUGGGUCACAAUAAAGCUCUAAACUUGGUACCAUUCACUGAUGUUCAGAUUUUCAUCUCUGAAUAAACUAAGUCAAUAGCAAUCCAAACACAGAAAUUCAGAUGCUGAAUUAAACUAAGUCUGAAUUCCAACAACCCUGACAGCUUAUCUUUGAGCAAAUUUUACACCUAGUUUCCAAUAACAGACAGUGGUAGAGUUCAAUCAAAUGUCGUGGGGAACAUUAGUGACAUACCUAAACUUUGGUGCUCACAAGGAAUCGACCGGAGAAAGCGUGAGUUGUUCGGUCAACACAAAGGCUGUUCACGGCUCCGGUCUGCGGUGGCGCAACUCCGUUCUGAGCAGCACAAGACUCUAGAAUUAGGAAACCCAGUUCAGUGAGCUUCACUAAUCUAGGGAGAUUACCGAACAAGGUUCACCUGGGUAACAAACUUCUCGAGAUGCUCUGACCACGGCGAGGUGGAAGGAUGGUUGUUGUGGCACCAGAGUACCAGACAAUGGAAUGGCACUUGAUGAACUGAACAAAGCCGACACGGAGGCUAAUGAGAUGAACUCAGGCUUGCACACACCUUCA